CCUACGGGAGGCAGCAGUGGGGAAUUUUGGACAAUGGGCGCAAGCCUGAUCCAGCCAUGCCGCGUGUCUGAAGAAGGCCUUCGGGUUGUAAAGGACUUUUGUCCGGGAGCAAAUGCCUGGUGUUAAUAGCAUCGGGAGCUGAGAGUACCGGAAGAAUAAGCACCGGCUAACUACGUGCCAGCAGCCGCGGUAAU
rnacentral:rRNA from 1 species